CCGAACUAAACAACACUCACCCACACCCCAACAUCAUAGCCACACUCCCCCAAAUUUCCAAAAACCCUAGCUGCUACCCUUACCUCCUUCAGAAACUCAACGCACACACAACACACACACAGCAGCAGGAAAACAAAAAAAUGAAAGAAGAAAGAAAGAAGAAAGGAAAGAGGGAAGGGACCAAGGAAUGAAGGAGAGGGGGGAGAAGGGAAGGCGACGUGGUAGGCAUCACUACCACCGUCGCCGCCACUGCUGACAGAGAAGAGAGGGAGAUUCGAGAGAGAGGGAGAGCCCAGGGGAGGAGAAGCUCAGUGCCGCCACUGCAUCCUGCUGUCCGCACCGCCACCGUCGCGUCACCUGUACCGUCGCCACCAUCCGUCAUGCCGCACCAUGCCACGUCACUGUCGAGAACAGAGCUGUAGGGAGAGAAGGCUCGCGAGUGAGAGAGAAGGUUGCAAGACUGGAGACCGCCACACCCAGUCACAUCCAUGAAGCCAUCGCCGCCUAGCCCGACCCGUCGCCAAACCGCGUCGCCGUCCGUGAAGCUGCCUCCGUCGCGACCGUCGGAGGUUGCUGUUGGAGCUGCUGCUCCAGUUCUGUCGUUCUUCUUUUUCACAGGUUAAUUUUAUGGGUUUGCAUGUCGAAAUUGAGGUUGUUGCUGAACCACUGGAGCUUCUGCCUACUGUCGGAGCUACUGCCGAAUAAGUUUAGAGUGGCUACUACACCAUUCUUUUAUUCCAAUGUCGUGGCUUGCCAUCACGUGCUUCAGGUUGAGACUCGAUACUCUGUUGAUCCUACGUCGCAAGAUGUGGACGGACACUUUAACUCCACAAGAGUUCCCCCAAUGAGUAGAAUUUGUUUAUGAUUUGAGAAAAAGCUAUGCAUAGACUCUUGGGGAUGCGCGCACAUGGGAUUUUCCAGGGUUUAGCAGGCGGACAUGUCGAGUUGGCUUUAUAACCGAAAGAUGAGACUCAUCAGCCAUAGGGCAGGCAUUCGUUAUAUGCAUCUAUGUGACAUUGUUUGGGCAUGCAUAUUAUUAUUGGUUUGUCUAUGUGAAUAAUUAUGUUUAAUUGUUAAUUGCUCUAUUUGAGGUAACUGCUUUGAUUGUGUUUGAACCUUCUUUCUUAUGUUUGUGAUUGAAAUUGAGUGGAUUGUGGUGAAUUGGCUGUUGAUUGAGUUGUUUGGGUCUAGGGCUGUGACUGAUUAUGUGAUAGGUCAAAGGUUGUGAGUGGUUUAUGUUUUUGGUUUAGUAAAGUAUGAAAGAUCAAACUGAUUCAGCAUAGACUUAAUGAACCUAUGCUUGGAAUAGCUUGGUCAUCAUGCAUACUGUCCAGGAAAAACUUGUAAUAAUUGAUACAAAUGGAAAAUAUUUUGGAUUUUUGAAGAAUUAACAGAUUUCUCUUUUAAAAAGGAUAUCGAUUUUUUUUAAUAUAAAUCUCUGGUUUUUGUAAGGAUACAUAAGGCGGGCAACGAUCACUGUAUAUUGAAAACAGUUUUACUUUUACGUAUCUUAUUAUAACAAUUCUCUAACCCUAUAGUGAGAACCAACUAGGACGAUCUUGUCCACGUGUUUCCUUUUUAGAGUAUGGACAAAGAAGUCAUGAAGAGUUUAUUUUGUUUUAUGUUUACACGAUAUUGUUGUAUUUUUUAGUUAUUUUAUUUUCUCGUCCUUAUCUUUACAAGUUUUUGUUAGAGGGAUAGAAACUUGAUAUGA